rnacentral:ncRNA from 2 species
UGUCUUCAGGGCAGGGUGUAAUUCCCGAUCGGCGGUAAAGUCCGCGAGCGCUCACGCGCAGGAGCUUUUGGCUCAGGAACUGGUGAAACUCCAGUACCGACAGUGAUAGUCUGGAUGGAAGAAGAU